CGACGCUCGCGCGGCGUCCGUUGGCCCGACGGCCCAGAAGGCCGCAGGGGCGCGGGGCGCAGAGCCAAAGGGAAAACGUCCCCGCCCUCCCACCGCUCCCCACACCAACCUGGACCGUUCGCUCCCGGGACUCGUCAGCAGCGGCCCAAGGCGGUAGCACUACGGCCGCGACAACGCUCGGCCACCCGGCUGGCUUCUGUCUUCUUGGGCUUCGACGUCUUGACCGUGGCGUCCUGACGUCAUGCGGCGGCUUCGCCCCGCCCCUUCCCUGAAUAGCCAAUGGCCACCACCAGUGGGCUUGAGCCCGCCCUCCCGCCUACGCAAGCACGAGGGGGCUGGGACCGGCAGGCCGGAAGUCUGGGCGGGGACGGUGGCCCCGAGGGAACGAUCGCGGYCGAGUUUCCGGCUCGUCACUCUGGCACGCAGCCUUUUUUUGACUCCGCCUGUGGUAGCCAUUGUUUUCCCUGAGGAGUAAACCGGAGUGACGAGCAUUAGCACGGCAGAUGCCACCCCGACUUUACCGGACUUCUUGCGGCGGAGUAAUUAUUCCGAUUUAUGGGGAAAGUGGCAAAGCUCAUACCGAGUCGCGCGUCCUCCGCCCACGUCCCCCCUGCGGUCCCCGCACCGAGAGCCGGACUCCGUGCGUGGCCGCGCCUUUCCCGCUCCCUGUGUGCGGGGCUAACCCAGAGCACCUGUCAGACCCGAGGAUGUGGUUAUGGCUUUUAGAGAUGGAACUGCUGCUGAGCUUGGACAGGAACACCACCUGGCAGCCACAGGGAAGGGUCCUCCCCGGCCCAAUGAGGAGCAGAAUCUGGGACCGGGAGACAUAAGGACCCUGCUG
rnacentral:lncRNA from 1 species